GUGUGCGUGUGUGCGUGUGUGCGUGUGUGCGUGUGCGCGUGUGCGUGUGUGUGUCCGUGUCCACCCCUCCUAGCUGCAGGGUGUGUAUUUGUGUGUGUGUGUGUCUCCACCCCUCCGAGCUGGUGCCACUGGGCUUGUGAGUGCUAUCCUGCAGUACUGUAGCUGAGGUUUCCCUGCCGAACGCCUUUUUUGUUUUAAGUUUGAUUUUAUUUUCUGUUUGUUUGCAUUAGCUGAUUUCUUGACAGAGUAACCUGUUCACUAACAGCCUAAGUAUAAAAGCUCUAAAGCGUUUGCUUUGUCUCUUUUAAUUUCCCCUGUGCUACGCAAAGCCCACUUUAUUUAUUCCACCAUGUAUCAUAUAGUUAUCUUUUUUUUUUUUCUCCUAAACGCAAUGCAAUGUUUGUCAGCAUUUAAAUUUUUUUUCUUGUUGUUAUUAUUGUUAUGUAAACCAUUGCUGUGAUCUUUCUGUAUCAGUUUUUAGCUAUCUUCAGUGAAGGUUUUUUAUUUGUAUUUGUUUGUUUGUUUUUGUUUUUAACGGGGGCAUGUCUGAAAUAAUUGUUGCCACAUGUUCAUGAUUAAGCUACACUAUAAUGAGACUGACUGUGCAUAGCUCUAUUUUUAAGUAAGUUUAAAGAAGAAAAAAAAGUUGAAAAAAAAAAGAAUCACACAUGUCAACUUGAUUUUUUUUUUUAAAUAUGUUGACGGUGCAAGAUCCAUGCAGUGCUACACCUCAGGCCAGUGUCAAGCCUCCAUCUCAUUGGCUUAGACGUGUGUGUGUGUGUGUGUGUGUGUGUGUGUGUGUGUGUGUGUGUAGCUUCAACAACUGUGUAAAUCCAGUGAGCUGCCACCCUGCAGAACAAUGCCAACUGUAGUUUUCACUUGCGAAGAAAGAUUGAUUUAAUUUCAAGUCGUGUCGCCACCAUAAAGGGAAUGAGGUGGGGGAUAAAAAAAAAGCAGUCAUGUGCUCUCCCACAUCAAUGUGAAUUGUUUGGAGAUAAAAGCCGUGUUGUUGCGUGGUAGAUCGUGUCCGUGAAAUCAUUAGAGAAGGCUUUCGUGACCACCAAGCCCCCCCCCCAUUCAUUGGAUUAGCUGGUUACCCGCCACACUUGUCCCUGUCGCUUUUAAGAACGAGAGCGAGUACACCGUCAGCAUCGCAGCCGUCUCUCGUAGUCACAAUCUGUAGGUUUCACCGGGUAAAAACAUCAGUGGUGUUUGUAAGUGUGUUGCCUGUUCUUGUAGCCACGGAGACGAAAGACGUGUCCACGACAAAAUCACUGUCUGAGAUGAGCGGAAACGUGCUCUUUGCUUGUAGCUGGUUUUCAUGUGGUUGUCAGUGGGAGUCAGACUUGAGAACCGACUUGAUGCAUGAUCAGUGUAAAAUUAUGUGUGUGGCGCUACAGAUGUGCUUUUUUUUUGCAUGAUGGGUUUUUGAAAGAAGAUUUGCCACAAAACCAUGACAUUUGAACUUGAUCUUUUAAUGAGGCAAUAUUAUUAAAAUGAAGUAUGGGUCAAGUAGUUCAAAGCACUAUACGGAAAAAAAAGGCCACAAAAAAACCAUACUGUGAGGAAGUGAAGAUUUUUGUUUUACAUGUGGUAUAACCUAGUAUCUAAUUUGCAUAAUGCUGAAACUGGAAAUAGAUCUUGUCAUAGGUGGAAAUGUGGUGGAAAUUGGUCCUAAAUCUGCAAGUUUGGUGUUGUAAGCUGCUUGGUUGGUAUUCUAUCUAAAAGACAAACUGGGUAAUUGUACAGAGAUGAAAUCAAAUUUGUAUAAAAGACAAAUUAUUUAGAUAUUUUUGUACUUCAUCAGAUCUCUACAUGCAUGUCAGCAAUAAACUUUGAUAUGGAACCACUUUUGCCCGGUUUGUUUCAUUGCAAGGUGCUGUCUGAAGUCUCCGAACAGGAGUCGAUUGGUGGCAAAUGCAAACCCCAUUUUGUCCAACAGAGGGCGUCCUUUCCCAAAAAUGUCUCCUUCCCAGAGAGCAGUUGACUCUACAGAUCUGGCCUUGAUGUGGCUUGCAUGCGGCCCAGAUCAGUCUCAAAGAGCUGGAGAGCGAGAGCGGUCCACCUUCUAGAAUGGAACUGCCUUGUAGCUGUGUGCGGAGGGGAAAAGACUCAUGAAGGAAAACCCUUUCAACAGAACUGGCACUUUAAAGGUGCUCAUAGGCCAACCAUCUCCAUCAAGACUGGUUAUGGUGGUAAGUUAUUCAGCUCAAGACUGGUUGUUUGAAAGUGCUCACAGACCAACCAUCUACACCAAGACUGGUUAUGUUGGUAAGUUAGUCUGCACAUGAAUCACAUGAGCUUAAAGUCAACUGGAGAGAUCUGUAUGUGAUCACUGCAGACUCUUAAGCUUACUUGUGUGUGUGUG
ensembl:lncRNA